CCUACGGGUGGCUGCAGUCGAGAAUCAUUCACAAUGGGGGAAACCCUGAUGGGGCGACGCCGCGUGGGGGAAUGAAGGUCUGCGGAUUGUAAACCCCUGUCAUGGGGGAGCAAAUUAAAAAGAGAGUACCACAAGAGGAAGAGACGGCGAACGCGGGGCCAGCAGCCGCGGUAAUACAGAGGGCUCAAGCGUUGUUCGGAAUCACUGGGCGUAAAGCGUGCGGAGGCGGUUUCGUAAGUCGUGGGUGAAAGGCGCGGGCUCAACCCGCGGACGGCACCUGAUACUGCGAGACUAGAGUACUGGCGUGGGAACCGUACUUCUCGGUGUAGCCGUGAAAUGCGUAGCUCUCGCGCG
rnacentral:rRNA from 1 species